rnacentral:rRNA from 1 species
CGGUAAUUCCAGCUCCAAUAGCGUAUACUAAAGUUGUUGCAGUUAAAAAGCUCGUAGUUGGAUUUCUGCGGGGACGGAGCGGCCGGACGCAACUUGCGUCUCGAGCUAGCGCUUUCCCCGCAUCCUGCCGCGAACCGUGCUACCAUUAGUUUGGUGGCGCUGGGGAUCGGCUCGAUUACUUUGAGAAAAAUAGAGUGUUCAAAGCAGGCCACACGCCUUGAAUAAGUUAGCAUGGAAUAAUGACUAAGGACUUCGGUUCUAUUUUGUUGGUGUUCGGGACUGAAGUAAUGAUUGAUAGGGACAGUUGGGGCGGUCUGUAUUCCAAAGCGAGAGGUGAAAUUCUUAGACCUUCGGAAGACAAACAGCUGCGAAAGCGUUCCGCAAGGAUGUUCCCUUUGAUCAAGAACGAAAGUUGGGGGAUCGAAGACGAUCAGAUACCGUCGUAGUCUCAACUAUAAACUAUACCAGCUAGGGAUCGGUCAACGUUUAAUUAUUCGACUUGAUCGGCACCUUAUGAGAAAUCAAAGCAUCUGGGUUCCGGGGGGAGUAUGGUCGCAAGGCUGAAACUUAAAGGAAUUGACGGAAGGGCACCACCAGCCGUGGAGCCUGUGGCUUAAUUUGACUCAACACGGGAAAACUUACCAGGUCCAGACAUAGUAAGGAUUGACAGAUUGAUAGCUCUUUCUUGAUUCUGUGGGUGGUGGUGCAUGGCCGUUCUUAGUUGGUGGAGUGAUUUGUCUGGUUAAUUCCGUUAACGAACGAGACCCCAGCCUGCUAAAUAGCGCGGCUGAGCUUUGCUCGGUGCGAGCUCCUUAGAGGGACUAUGAUGCGCGAUAGCACAUGGAAGUUUGGGGCAAUAACAGGUCUGUGAUGCCCUUAGAUGUUCUGGGCCGCACACGGGCUACACUGGCGCCUGCAACGAGCAUAUCAGCUGGCCCGAGAGGGUCUUGGCUAAUCUUUUGAACCGGCGCCGUGCUUGGGAUUGACCUUUGCAAUUGUUGGUCAUGCAACGAGGAAUGCCUUGUAAACGCGAGUCAUCAGCUCGCAUUGAAUACGUCCCUGCCCCUUGUACACACCGCCC